CGCAGGCGGUCUUUUAAGUCUGAUGUGAAAGCCUUCGGCUUAACCGGAGUAGUGCAUUGGAAACUGGGAGACUUGAGUGCAGAAGAGGAGAGUGGAACUCCAUGUGUAGCGGUGAAAUGCGUAGAUAUAUGGAAGAACACCAGUGGCGAAAGCGGCUCUCUGGUCUGUAACUGACGCUGAGGUUCGAAAGCGUGGGUAGCAAACAGGAUUAGAUACCCUGG
rnacentral:rRNA from 1 species